rnacentral:tRNA from 1 species
GCUGAUGUAGCUCAGUUGGUAAAGCACUGCUUAGCAUGUGUGAAGUCCUGAGUUCAAUAUCCAGCACUGCA